UACGUAGGGGGCAAGCGUUGUCCGGAUUUAUUGGGCGUAAAGAGCGUGUAGGCGGCCAUACAGGUCAGCUGUGAAAACUCGAGGCUCAACCUCGAGACGUCGGUUGAAACCGUAUGGCUAGAGUCCGGAAGAGGAGAGUGGAAUUCCCGGUGUAGCGGUGAAAUGCGUAGAUAUCGGGAAGAACACCCGUGGCGAAGGCGGCUCUCUGGGACGGUACUGACGCGUGAGACGCGAAAAGCGUGGGGAGCAAACAGG
rnacentral:rRNA from 1 species